rnacentral:lncRNA from 13 species
AUGGAGUCUUGCUGUGUCGUCUAGGCUGUAGUACAGUGGCAUGAUCUGGGCUCACUGCAACCUCCGCCUUCCAGGUUCAAGCAGUUCUCCUGUCUCAGCCUCCCAAGUUGCUGGGACUACAGGAGGAAAAAGGCAAAGAGAAGAGAGUGAGAAGAGAAAGAAAAACAGAACAGAUGCUACAUCUUCAAAUUACAAAAGACCUUUAUGGCUAUACAGAUGAAGAGCUUGUGAUCCCAUUCCUAGUCACCUCAAAAGCCAGAUAUGUGUUCUACUUAGAACCUUUACCAGGAUAUAGAGUCUACACAGCUCUUUCCUCAGGUUUCUGUCUAUUUAAGAUUCUGGGGGCUCAUCUGAUUGGAAUAGUCAAGGCCAUAUGCUGGUGCCUACAUUUUAGAGUGAUUUAUUUCUGGACAUAAAGAAAAUGUGGUACUGAUACACGAUGGAGUACUACUUAGCCAUAAAAAAGAAUGAGAUCCUGUCAUUAGCAACAACAUGACUUUGGUUUUAAAUAAAUGUCUAUAGUCUGCUAUUACUAGAGUCUAG